AGGAGAACCCACAAACUCUGGUGAGAGACGAGAAACCAUACCUUCAAAAUGGAGGCAAUAACUGAGAGGAUUGUGGUCUUUCUUCAAUUUUAAUUGAAUUGUGUGGUGAUUCCGACAGUUUUAAUGCCGACAUUAAUGAUUCAGAUUCCAGUUCAAACCAGGAGAUGGAAGAGUCUACGAAUAUUAAUACCAGUAUAUAUGAGAUGUCCUGGUCCUGGAGGUGGAAGGAUCUGCUCACAGUGGAGGCAGCUCCUGUCAGUAAACUUUACCAAAUUGUGGGUACAGCUCCAACAGGUAUCCUCAUGAAACCAACUUGAGAAAUUGAUAGGAAGAAACAGAAAACUGAUUCCAGACAUCCCUUAUUUGACCACAAGCAUCGGCGACCAGGACUCAGAAUUGCGAAAGCGCUUCAUGCAGAUAACUACAGCAAUGCCUUCAUUUCUUGGUGCUCGCCUAGUGGAACUUUGACAAGAUCUUUCGCCCAAAGCACACGAAACAAAUGUCAAAGGAGAACCAGUGGCUGGUUCAGACCUACCUUAUGUGAUAAGAAAAAAUGCUAAACAGAUUGAUAACUGGGGUUUCACAAUGCAAAGUCAACUUCACAAAAUAGUGGGUCAGCAGUGAUGAUGAAAUUUGCCAUUGUGGUGUAGGACUGUGUUCCAACUUGUGGUAUUCCAAUGCCAGAAGAACGCAUUGUUCAAAUGAUUUCUGGUCCUUCGGUCAGUAUGCUAACUUAUGUCUGGUGCCACCAGUUAGCAGCUUUUCGAAGUAUUUCAAAACUUCUGUAUAAUGGCUGUAUAAAAGUCUUGCAGCUUUCGCAAUGAACAUAUCAUUUGUUGCUCUUGUCUGUCGAUCUUAGUUUUCAAGAAAUCAGCGACUCUUCUGCUGAACACACAAAGGAAUUUUCUGGGAGUGUUUUCAAUAGCAGGAGAUGUUUUGAUGGACUGUAAACACCUAACUAGCAGUGAUUAGAUGGAACAAGCAUAUCUUUCAUCAAGCAAAGUAGCAGAUAAUCUGGAAUGGGAAUCUGGAGGGAAGGAGAAGUAAGAGGUCAGCACUUGAGGACUGUGGCGCCUAUGAAAUCAGAUAUCCUGAUCCUGGAAGUGGAAGGGUCUGCUCACAGUGGAGGCAGCUCCUGUCAGUAAACUUUACGGAACUGUGGGUACAGCUCCAACAUGCAUCCUCGUGAAACCAACUUGAGAAAUUGAUAGGAAGAAACAGAAAACUGAUUCCAGACAUCCCUUAUUUGACCACGAGCAUCGGCGACCAGGACCCAGAAUUGUGAAAGCGCUUCAUGCAGAUAACUACAGCAAUGCCUUCAUUUCUUGGUGCUCGCCUAGUGGAACUUUGACAAGAUCUUUCGCCAAAAGCACACGAAACAAAUGUCAAAGGAGAACCAGUGGCAGGUUCAGACCUACCUUAUGUGAUAAGAAAAAAUGCCAAACAGAUUGAUCACUGGGGUUUCACAAUGCAAAGUCAACUUCACAAAAUAGUGCUUCAGCAGUGAUCAUGAAAUUUGCCAUUGUGGUGGCCUGCAGGAGCAUCAUCUAUUAGUCUGUUAACAGGAAUCUACUGUGCACACUACUAAGAGUGAUCUUGCUGCAGCUAAGGAAGCAGCCAAAAUUGUCAAAUAGUGGGCUCUCCACAGAAUUUGAAGAGAAUUAGCUUGCUGUUUUUUUAAAUCUUCCUGUCUGUAUUUUAUCAAUUCUUGUUGUACAUAUUUUUCUCUGUAUUUUUACUGUUAUUAAUUUCUAUCUGUAUGUUACUGAAUUUCCUCUGUAACUGAUUUUUUUAUAUGUACAGGGUGUUUCAAAAAUGACCGGUAUAUUUGAAACGGCAAUAAAAACUAAACGAGCAGCGAUAGAAAUACACAGUUCAUUGCAAUAUGCUUGGGACAACAGUACAUUUUCAGGCGGACAAACUUUCGAAAUUACAGUAGUUACAAUUUUCAACAACAGAUGGCGCUGCAAGUGAUGUGAACGAUAUAGAAGACAACGCAGUCUGUGGGUGCGCCAUUCUGUACGUCGUCUUUCUGCUGUAAGUGUGUGCUGUUUACAACGUGCAAGUGUGCUGUAGACAACAUGGUUUAUUCCUUAGAACAGAGGAUUUUUCUGGUGUUGGAAUUCCACCGCCUAGAACACAGUGUUGUUGCAACAAGACGAAGUUUUCCACGGAGGUUUAAUGUAACCAAAGGACCGAAAAGCGAUACAAUAAAGGAUCUGUUUGAAAAAUUUCAACGGACUGGGAACGUGAGGGAUGAACGUGCUGGAAAGGUAAGGCGACCGCGUACGGCAACCACAGAGGGCAACGCGCAGCUAGUGCAGCAGGUGAUCCAACAGCGGCCUCGGGUUUCCGUUCGCCGUGUUGCAGCUGCGGUCCAAAUGACACCAACGUCCACGUAUCGUCUCAUGCGCUAGAGUUUACACCUCUAUCCAUACAAAAUUCAAACGUGGCAACCCCUCAGCGCCGCUACCACUGCUGCACGAGAGACAUUCGCUAACGAUAUAGUGCACAGGAUUGAUGACGGCGAUAUGCAUGUGGGCAGCAUUUGGUUUACUGACGAAGCUUAUUUUUACCUGGACGGCUUUGUCAAUAAAGAGAACUGGCGCAUAUGGGGAACCGAAAAGCCCCAUGUUGCAGUCCCAUCGUCCCUGCAUCCUCAAAAAGUACUGGUCUGGGCCGCCAUUUCUUCCAAAGGAAUCAUUGGCCCAUUUUUUCAGAUCCGAAACGAUUACCGCAUCACGCUAUCUGGACAUUCUUCGUGAAUUUGUGGCGGUACAAACUGCCUUAGACGACACUGCGAACACCUCGUGGUUUAUGCAAGAUGGUGCCCGGCCACAUCACACGGCCGACGUCUUUAAUUUCCUGAAUGAAUAUUUCGAUGAUCGUGUGAUUGCUUUGGGCUAUCCGAAACAUACAGGAGGCAGCGUGGAUUGGCCUCCCUAUUCGCCAGACAUGAACCCCUGUGACUUCUUUCUGUGGGGACACUUGAAAGACCAGGUGUACCGCCAGAAUCCAGAAACAAUUGAACGGCUGAAGCAGUACAUCUCAUCUGCAUGUGAAGCCAUUCCGCCAGACACGUUGUCAAAGGUUUCGGGUAAUUUCAUUCAGAGACUACGCCAUAUUAUUGCUACGCAUGGUGGAUAUGUGGAAAAUAUCGUACUAUAGAGUUUCCCAGACCGCAGCGCCAUCUGUUGUUGAAAAUUGUAACCACUGUAAUUUAGAAAGUUUGUCUGCCUGAAAAUGUACUGUUGUCCCAAGCAUAUUGCAACAAACAGUGUAUUUCUAUCGCUGCUCAUUUAGUUUUUAUUGCCGUUUCAAAUAUACCGGUCAUUUUUGAAACACCCUGUAUUAAAUCUCAAUAUGUAUGUUAUUAAUGCUCUGUCAGUAUUGUAAUAAUUCAAUGUC